rnacentral:rRNA from 1 species
UUGAGAUUUUAACACGAAGUGAGUGGCGAACGGGUGAGUAACACGUGGGUAACCUGCCCAGAAGUAGGGGAUAACACCUGGAAACAGAUGCUAAUACCGUAUAACAGAGAAAACCGCAUGGUUUUCUUUUAAAAGAUGGCUCUGCUAUCACUUCUGGAUGGACCCGCGGCGUAU